GGGAGCAGGAGUGAGGACGUGUGUUCAUGUACACUGAGCCGGUUGAAUCUUGUCAAAAGCUGUUAUUUUACUUUAUAUUGUGGGCUCAUCGCUGUACCUGGUGGUGCAGAACAACUUUGCACCUCUAACGGUCUGCUGCGUACUUUACACUGUCUGCAGAUGAAGAAUCCGGCUCAUGGAAAGGAAUGAAAUAUAUUAAUAUAGCUGGAGGUGGAGCUACAGAGACAUCCAGAGGAUCAACACGGGAACUGCAGGCUGAUCGACUCCACCCGUCUGCUACUCAAAGGAGGUGAAAACAAACUCACCAGUGAAGAAUGAUUUGCUCGUAAUGAUUUUUCGUGGCGGGAGGCGGGAGGAAACUCUUUCAGUUUGCAGCGAGCCGACGGCGGAGUCCACAGCGUUCCUCGGCUCAGCAGAGUAUCGCACAGACAUCAUGUUAAACGGGCGUCUCUUAGCCUCGGCUCUCUCCUCCGAGUCGAAAUACCAAACUGUGACGGCGUACCUGAAACAGAAACCACAACAACGGUGUUUACUGCAACUCUUGGCUUAAGUUGUCUCUCUGCAGGGACAGGAUGUGAUUUAUUAGUGUCUUUACAUUUCUAUAUUCAUGGAGGAGAGAAAUGUAAAUAUAAGAUCCUGUUUGUUCUAGAAAUUAAUUAUUUCGUGUAAUUGCACGUUUCCACCAGCAGGUGGUGCCAUUUAUCUGUGUUCUGUUCUCAGUGACACUUUACUGAUGAUAAAAUAUAUACUGAAUAUUUUGAAAGCAACUUUGUUUUUUAAAUACUUUUUACAUUAUCAUGUUUCUUUUACUUCUGAAUCUGAAUGUUGUGGGUUUUUUUACUGAAAUAUUGGUAAAAACAUUUGAUAUUUAAAUGUCUUAUAUGCAGCCUAAUGCACAUGUAGACAGAGGGGUGGGUUAGUUUUAUUCAUUCAGAGGGAACUGAAACAGGUUGUGCAGGAUUCAUUAACUUUACAUCAAAAUCUAAACUGAUACCAAAUGAGAAUUUGUCUGAGUGCGAGCUCCUACUCGAACAGCUGUGAGGACCAGUGAUUGAUGAUCUGGUUGGUUACCUGGUAGAGUAGGAGGGCUGCACCUCGUGUGGGUUCCUGCGGUCGGACCAGAAGAAGAGCAGCCGGUCGAACAGCGGCUUGAUGUCGGCCACGAAGGAUUUCCCCUCCGGGAAGAUCCUGAGAACGCCUCCGUGCUCCUGAUUAAAAAAAACAAAACAAAGAUCACAAACGAGGAAGAGAAGCAGACGUGUGGAGAUGAUUGUUAAACAUUCAAAUCUUUUGAAAGGCUGAUCAAAUGUAUCUCUUGUUAUUUUACUUGUUCCCACAAUAUCAUAAAUCAUAUAUGAGUAAAUUCAAUUAAAUUCUGAUCUCUGAAGUACAA